CCACACCCGUUCCCAUACCGAACACGGAAGUUAAGCUCUUCAGCGCCGAUGGUAGUUGGGGGCUGUCCCCCUGUGAGAGUAGGACGUUGCCAGGC
rnacentral:rRNA from 1 species